AGUGAACGCUGGCGGUAGGCCUAACACAUGCAAGUCGAACGGCAGCACAGUAAGAGCUUGCUCUUACGGGUGGCGAGUGGCGGACGGGUGAGGAAUACAUCGGAAUCUACUUUUUCGUGGGGGAUAACGUAGGGAAACUUACGCUAAUACCGCAUACGACCUACGGGUGAAAGCAGGGGAUCUUCGGACCUUGCGCGAUUGAAUGAGCCGAUGUCGGAUUAGCUAGUUGGCGGGGUAAAGGCCCACCAAGGCGACGAUCCGUAGCUGGUCUGAGAGGAUGAUCAGCCACACUGGAACUGAGACACGGUCCAGACUCCUACGGGAGGCAGCAGUGGGGAAUAUUGGACAAUGGGCGCAAGCCUGAUCCAGCCAUGCCGCGUGAGUGAAGAAGGCCUUCGGGUUGUAAAGCCCUUUUAUUAGGAAAGAAAAGCAGCAGGUUAAUACCCCGCUGUUCUGACGGUACCUAAAGAAUAAGCACCGGCUAACUUCGUG
rnacentral:rRNA from 1 species